rnacentral:rRNA from 1 species
AUACGUAGGGAGCGAGCGUUGUCCGGAUUUACUGGGUGUAAAGGGUGCGUAGGCGGCUCUGCAAGUCAGGUGUGAAAACCAUCGGCUUAACUGAUGGACUGCAUUUGAAACUGUGGGGCUUGAGUGGAGUAGAGGCAGACGGAAUUCCCGGUGUAGCGGUGAAAUGCGUAGAGAUCGGGAAGAACACCAGUGGCGAAGGCGGUCUGCUGGGCUCUAACUGACGCUGAGGCACGAAAGCAUGGGUAGCAAACAGGAUUAGAUACCCUGGUAGUCCAUGCCGUAAACGAUGAUUACUAGGUGUGGGGGGUCUGACCCUCUCCGUGCCGGAGUUAACACAAUAAGUAUUCCGCCUGGGGAGUACGGUCGCAAGAUUAAA